rnacentral:rRNA from 1 species
GACGAACGCUGGCGGCGCGCUUAACACAUGCAAGUCGAACGGAAAGGCCUGCUUUCCCUUGUGGAUUGCGGGUACUCGAGUGGCGAACGGGUGAGUAACACGUGAGUGAUCUGCCCCCAACUUGGGUAUAAGCCUGGGAAACUGGGUCUAAUUCCCGAUAGGACUGCAGGGUGGUGCCUGUGGUGGAAAACGAUUUUCUAGUGGUUGGGGAUGAGCUCGCGGCCUAUCAGCUUGUUGGUGGGGUAAUGGCCUACCAAGGCGGCGACGGGUAGCCGGCCUGAGAGGGGGGACGGCCACAUUGGGACUGAGAUACGGCCCAGACGCCUACGGGAGGCAGCAGUGGGGAAUAUUGCACAAUGGGCGGAAGCCUGAUGCAGCGACGCCGCGUGGGGGAUGACGGCCUUCGGGUUGUAAACUCCUUUCGACCGCGAGGAAGCCACCUGGAUGGAAGGGUGGUGACGGUAGUGGUAGAAGAAGCACCGGCUAACUACGUG